CCGUGUGGUAAAAAAUGAAAAAUUAUCGGGCUAUGUUGAUGUUUACGUUAAUUAAAAUACUUCUUAUAAUAAGUGUGGGAGGAGAAAUCAUAAAACCAUCUUGCCGAUCCGAAAACACAUUUUGCAUUCGAAAUGAUCAAUGCUGUUCAAAGAAGUGUAAUUCAGUGGAAAAUUCCGAUUAUAAUGUCUGUGUUAAUGUUUUUGGUCCUUAUGUAACAGCUCAUAAAAUUUUACUACCUCCUAAGACUAUUGUGAAAAAAAAAGGAGGGAAAAUAUAUAACUGCAUUCCAAACGGAUCAACCUGCCAAGAAAACAGCCAAUGCUGUUCUCAAUCAUGUCAAAGACUAUUUCCUUCGUUCCCACGAAAGUGUCUAAAACCAAGUAGCGAUAAAAGAAAGUCUACAAACUAAAAUUUUUAAAUAUUCACAAUAAGCGGUCAAGUACUGGAUAAAUGUAAUAAGAAAUUCAAUUCCUGUAUCCAGCAACUAAGAAAACAAUGAUCAUUUUUCAUUGCUAAUUUGGUAUUGAUGUUAAUACUGAUGUAACAUAUGCUAUUGCAUACUAUGACACAAAAUGUCAACUGGCAAAAAAUUUUAAA